rnacentral:snoRNA from 1 species
NNNNGGGCCUCUCACAGUGUCCCAUGCCAAAGCACACUGUCACCACAAACCAUUGCCUGGCUUUACCUGGUAGGCUUAAGGUACUGAAGUGGGUUGCACAGUA